UUCUCCCUGUAGGAGAUGAUUUCUACCAGCAGAUAGAUUUAUUCUCCCUGUAGGAGAUGAUUUCUACCAGCAGAUAGACUUUAUUCUCCCUGAAGGAGAUGAUUUCUACCAGCAGAUGGCAACAUUUACACAGUUUUCCUCUGAACUGAUGA